rnacentral:rRNA from 1 species
UACGUAGGUGGCAAGCGUUGUCCGGAAUUAUUGGGCGUAAAGCGCGCGCAGGCGGUCCUUUAAGUCUGAUGUGAAAGCCCACGGCUCAACCGUGGAGGGUCAUUGGAAACUGGGGGACUUGAGUGCAGGAGAGAAGAGUGGAAUUCCACGUGUAGCGGUGAAAUGCGUAGAUAUCAAGAGGAACACCUGCGGCGAAGGCGGGUUGCUGGGCCGACACUGACGCUGAGGCGCGAAAGCUAGGGGAGCGAACGGG